GAUGAACGCUGGCGGCGUGCCUAAUACAUGCAAGUCGAGCGAACGGACGAGAAGCUUGCUUCUCUGAUGUUAGCGGCGGACGGGUGAGUAACACGUGGAUAACCUACCUAUAAGACUGGGAUAACUUCGGGAAACCGGAGCUAAUACCGGAUAAUAUUUUGAACCGCAUGGUUCAAAAGUGAAAGACGGUCUUGCUGUCACUUAUAGAUGGAUCCGCGCUGCAUUAGCUAGUUGGUAAGGUAACGGCUUACCAAGGCAACGAUGCAUAGCCGACCUGAGAGGAUGAUCGGCCACACUGGAGCUGAGACACGGUCCAGACUCCUACGGGAGGCAGCAGUAGGGAAUCUUCCGCAAUGGGCGAAAGCCUGACGGAGCAACGCCGCGUGAGUGAUGAAGGUCUUCGGAUCGUAAAACUCUGUUAUUAGGGAAGAACAUAUGUGUAAGUAACUGUGCACAGCUUGACGGUACCUAAUCAGAAAGCCACGGCUAACUACGUG
rnacentral:rRNA from 1 species